rnacentral:rRNA from 2 species
UACGAAGGGGGCUAGCGUUGCUCGGAAUUACUGGGCGUAAAGGGAGCGUAGGCGGACAUUUAAGUCAGGGGUGAAAUCCCAGAGCUCAACUCUGGAACUGCCUUUGAUACUGGGUGUCUUGAGUGUGAGAGAGGUAUGUGGAACUCCGAGUGUAGAGGUGAAAUUCGUAGAUAUUCGGAAGAACACCAGUGGCGAAGGCGACAUACUGGCUCAUUACUGACGCUGAGGCUCGAAAGCGUGGGGAGCAAACAGG